rnacentral:lncRNA from 1 species
CCACCCAGUGGCCAGGAUGACAGGGUGAGGCUCUAACGCUAUCACUUUGCGUGCUCCUCUAGGCUUUUUUGGCUUUGCCUGCCCAGCUGUUCCAUGCCAGGAGGAGGAGGAGUUACAUGCUGGCAACUUGCAGAUGGCCUGGGGCUGCCGCUCGCCUCACUGCAGUUGGUGGCAGCUACGGAGACUGCAGCGGGCCAGAACGAAGAGGAGCUGUCUUUCUCUUUGAGACAUCAUGUCCAGCUGGCCCCAGUGGCUGCUCAUCCAGGCGCUGAAGGCCUGUAGCUGGGCUUGGCAUUCCUCCUGCCAGUUCCUGGGUGUCCUACUGAUUAUCUUGGUCCUGGAGGCAUUGGAGAUUUUGGCAAGUAUCCAGAAUUCACUGGCGGUGCUGCGGUCUGCAUCUGCCACCUGCUGCUGGGAGAAGAUCACCUUUACCAGCACCCGUGUUCUGCUGUGAGUGAGACUGACGUUCUCUUGGAACUGGAAGCUCAGGCUCUCAGAAGUGAAGGAAAGAAGAAAGAGUUGGCCAACUUUAAAGUGUGUCCAUUUAAGAAAAGACACUGAGAACUAUGUUUAUCUGAAAAGUUAACUAAGGUCAUGACUUUACUGUUCACUCUAUGGCAGUAAGUAAACGUUAUUUUGGAUUGUAAAGUGAGAAUGUGGACCUGGGCACAGUGGCUCACACCUGCAUUCCUAGGUACUCAGGAGGCCAAGAUGGGAGAAUUGCUUGAGUCCGGGAGUGCGAGACCAGCUUGAACGACAGAGAGAUCCCAUCUCUGUAAGGGAAGAACAAACAAGCGAGAAUGCAUUGUGUAAAUGAGUAAUACCACAAUGCUUUUCUGUACACCUCAGGUCAGCUUUCCUGGCAGCGGACACUGAGAUGGAGAUUCACGUACAGGAAGUUAAGAUGCCUGUCCCUCUACGGGAAUGGUUGGUCAAUAUUAAGGACAUCUGUGAGCAAGCAGGGCAGCCUGUGCCGGACCAGGUGUGUGGAUUAACAGAUUAGGAAGCAGGGCAGCCCGUGCCGGACGAGGUGUGUGGAUUAACAGAUUAGGAAGUAGGGCAGCCCGUGCCGGACCAGGUGUGUGGAUUAACAGAUUAGGAAGCAGGGCAGCCUGUGCCGGACCAGGUGUGUGGAUUAACAGAUUAGGAUAUUGGUUGUUUCUUUGGGCUGACUUAAUCCAGUUUUGCUGAAACUGCUUUUUGCCCCUAGAUACUGCCUGGCAUGGCUGAGACUUCAUUUCUCCCUGCUGUUUUCUGCUGAUCCUGAGUCAAAGGGCAUAAUUCUCUUUUUAUUAAAAGACUGCUGAAAAACCAUAUAAAAGCAGACACUACACACAAAUGUGUGUGUGUGUGUAUCUUUAUGUAUCUCUCAUGUUG